GUGAUAAGAAUGUCUGCCGAAAUAAAGCCUGCCCAACGAAACAAUAUUCGCUUUAGCACCAGGAAGCCUGAAUUAUUAAGCAAACUAAAAGGGAGCGGUGAUGAUAUCAAUGCCGCCAUAUUAAUACCCGGUGAAAGUGGAGUAAUCAGCGUAUCAUACCAUAAGUAAGUGAUGACGUCAACAUCCGUAAACUCUCUUCGCUUUCACUAAGUCUGAGGAUAUGGUUAAAACGUGAUUCCCGGCAGUAUUGGCCAUGAAUUUGUCAUAUAGAUGUUAAGAUAGGUCGAUGUACAUAGAUACGUUUAAACCAUUGACCGAUAUUAAAAAAUCACCUGCUCGCAAACCAGCCUGGGCACAGAAUCUAGCGAUUCGGAGAUAAGUAGCGACAUUGGGGAUGAACCGUACAAUUACUAUGGUACAUGUGACCUGAUCCGUCGAAAGAAUCCCAAAAAGAAACCACGUGUGGAUGAGCGGUAAAAAGUUUAUAAUAAAAUAUAUUGUCUUUAUUCAUCAUAAUGUACAUGCAGAAACAAUGAAAAUCCAUGAUUUAUAGAAAAAAUUUAAGAAAUGUUUCGCAUGUUCCGUCAAAAUAACUUUAAUCUGAGAAAAGCAUAAAAAAAAUAUAUUAGAUGUUGAUAUGCGCUUCAUGAAAAACUUACAUUAAAUCUGAAAUCCUGUUUAGAAUCUUGCAAUUUUUCUAUUAAAACUGGCAAUUUUAUGGGAGGUAGUGACCGUUUUGAAUUGCUCCCGAAAGAUGGCGUACAAUUCGCAAAGCCAAAAAACAAUCCUUAAGGGGGGCUUUUUAAUUGAUAGAGCGUCCAUAGAUAACCCAUUUAAAACUUCAACGGCAACUCAAAGGUUUGGUUCGACAAAUUUUGCCAUUGACCUCUCCUUCAAACCGCAUACCGAUAAGAAGAUGACUUAAAGAACACUGCAAUUCCUCUAGGAACUGCUGAUGAAAAAAAAAAGGGAAUACCAAGCCGCAAAAUAUUGAGAAUGUUCAGCUGCCACGCCCAUAGCGGCCCCGUUGGGUCCGGGAAUACAAUUGGGACAUUGAUCUGCCCCCCCCCCGACAUAUAGAAUGUUUUAUCCGCUGAAUUUAUAACCUUACAUCAAAUUGUUUAAAGAUAUAAAAAUUCGUAAAGUAUUUAGAGAUCUCAAUUACAACCGUGCAAUAAUAUAUUUUA